rnacentral:rRNA from 1 species
GACGAACGCUGGCGGCGUGCCUAAUACAUGCAAGUCGAACGCAGUGGGGACGGGUGAGUAACACGUGGGUAACCUCCCAUCAGAGGGGAUAACACUUGGAAACAGGUGCUAAACCGAUACUGAUGGAUGGACCCGCGGUGCAUUAGCUAGUUGGUGAGGUAACGGCUCAACAAGGCCACGAUGAAUAGCCGAACUGAGAGGGGGAUCGGCCCCACUGGAACUGGGACACGGCCCAUACUCCUACGGGAGGCAGCAGUAGGGAAUCUUCGUCAAUGGACGAAAGGCUGACCGAGCAACGCCGCGUGACUGAAGAAGGUGCUCGGAUCGUAAAACUCUGUUGUUAGAGAAGCGGUAUCUAACCAGAGAGUCACGGCUAACUACGUGCCAGCAGCCGCGGUAAUAC